rnacentral:rRNA from 1 species
UACGUAGGGCGCAAGCGUUGUCCGGAAUUAUUGGGCGUAAAGAGCUCGUAGGCGGCCUGUCGCGUCCGCUGUGAAAUCCCAGGGCUUAACCCUGGGCGUGCAGUGGAUACGGGCUGGCUGGAGGCAGGCAGGGGAGAACGGAAUUCCUGGUGUAGCGGUGGAAUGCGCAGAUAUCAGGAGGAACACCGGUGGCGAAGGCGGGUCUCUGGGCAGUAACUGACGCUGAGGAGCGAAAGCGUGGGGAGCGAACAGG